UGGGCUGGGGACUCCGGGCUCCUAGGAAGACGGGGAAGUUCUUUGUCAAGCAACAGAUGUUCAGGGUAAAAUUCCCUUUCUCUUCUUCCAGUUAUGGAGAGUUGAAAGGAACGAGGCGCUGCCCCUCCCCAACUUCCAGCUGGGCGCCUGUACCCCAGCCCUAGACCUCAACCCCAAGAUGCGCUCUUAAACCAAAUUCAUCCCCACUUACCCAAACUUGGAAUCUGGUUACAAACACAAGAGGCUAGAAAGAAACCUGGGUGGCUGAGGUCCACUAGAAACGAGGGCACAAACCCAAAUGUUGGGGAGGGCCCAACAAGUAGAUAUGACGAGGGGCCAGCUAAACUGAGCGGCCCCGUGUAUGCCAGCUGCCAGGACUACAGGCCCCAACCUGGCAGAUAGUCCCGUUACCUCCCCCGCCAAAUCAGGAUUUCAGAGGUCCGUGUUUCCAUUUCUGAACCACGGUAACUCAUUUUACAAAAACACUGCGCAAUUCAAACAAAUCUUUCCUAUACAUUGAAUGCUAGGUAAUGCUACCAAUAUAGAGAAGUUCUGUAGAACUUUCUGCAGCCAUAAAAAUGUUCUAUCUCUGGGCUGUCCAAUAGUGGAGUGGGUAUUGAGACACUUGAUAUGUACCUAGUGUAACUAAGGUUUUGAAAUUUUCAUGUAUGUUCAAACUUAAAUAGCUACAUGUGGCCAGUGGUUGUCAUGCUGGAUGGUACAGGUCUAGAGCAAUGACUCUGUGUCAUAGCCUUUGGAGACUCAUUGAAAACCAAGGGCCUCCUUCCAGGAAAAUGUGCAUAUAAUUACUGACAUGAAUGUUUGAUUAAAGUUUCAGGAUGUUCAUGGAUUGUCUGAAGGCCUACUCUUGUGCCUCAGGUUCAGCAUCCCUAGAAAAUUAAACCUGUGGUCGAAGAGAGGAGCCCCCUGGACAGAGGCUUUACUAUGGCCCAGCUGGACACUGCUGUGCGUCUUUUAACCGCUCGUUUGCAAGCCCAGUAAACAAGAGAAGCGAGAGUAGCCUCAAACAGGCUGAGAUGUCGUCCUCACCAGGCUUCUAAUUGGAGCCACCUGUGGUCUGCCUUGACUCAGGGUACCACCCCCCAGUAAUGUUGCCCAGGGCUCCCUGGCAGGGGCAAGGCAGGGACAUGUGGAAGCAGUAGACUGAGGACAUGUGGGCAGUUUAUUCUUUGAUGUCCUUGGAAGAGUGGUCACAGAUUGCAUGAUCUAAGUCAACAACCAGAACAGAUAACCCUCAGGAGAAUGAAGGUCAUUUCAACUAACAUGGUAAGUUCCUAUGAGAGGACUUUAAAUCAGCGCUCUCUCUCUCUCUCUCUCUCUCUCUCAGAUCUUUUCUUUACAUCUGUGGGUACCCCUGCCAGGCAACCGAAUAAUACAAAGCACAUAGCAUAUAGGAGAAUGGCUUCUUUCUAAGCACCCCCCAAAUGAUGGAACUACCUAGAGAUUAGUGCCUUUUUUGUGGGGAAGGCUUUGAUCCUUGUGCCAUUAGAGACCAAGGUUGGAGGAAGCCAAGCCCACAAUCAGAAUGUAAUUGAAGUAUGUUACCUAUAAUAGGUUCAGAUGUUUGUGAUCUUCAGCACUUUAUGAAUUCUGCAGCAGAUGGGCGAGGGCCAGGUAGCGGGCGAGAACAGACUGGGUAAGGCAGGCUGGCACUCUGACAAGGGCAGCCCCAGCUGUGGUCCGGGUGUUAUUCAGCACGCCCACCCACUGCACCAGCAGCCUGCCUUCCCGAGCUCGUGGCCACGGCCGCCUUAAUGAAGAGUGGAGGUAAGCAUGAAUCCCGGCUUUCCAGGGAUCGCAACAUUUGAGAAACCCAGAAGAAUCGACAUGAUGGAAAUGGUGCCAAGUUCUUCUGCCUUUUGCUUUUCAACAAAAAGAGAAAGAAAGAAGGAGAGAGAAGAGAGGGAAUCUGCUAAUAAAAUGCAUGUCUAAACACUUUCUAAUUUUCCUAGGCUUUUAAUUUUUUUCCCUCAAAAAUUCCAUACUGGAGAGGGAAAAGCAGAGUAACAGCUGACAAAAGGAAUCUUGAAUGGAUACAAGAAUUUACGUGAGCUGGUGUAAUGGGCAAGAUACUGUAGUUGGAGUUUCAAAUCCUCGCCCUGUCAGUUUCCCAUUGUGUGACCAUGAGCCAGGUUCUCAAGCGGCCCAGCUUCCUGUUUCCCCACCUGUCAAAUGACCAAAAUCGUGUAUGUCUCCCCAGCUGUUUGCCUCGCAAAAUGAGGUAAUAUGUUAGUAGCUAAUACAGUAAAAUUUUGGAUUGUGAGUAACUUGUUCUGCGAGUGUUCCACAAGAUGAGCAAACAUUUCUAAUAAAUUUUCACUUGAUAAACAA